rnacentral:rRNA from 1 species
GAUGAACGCUGGCGGCGUGCUUAACACAUGCAAGUCGAACGAUGAAGCCCAGCUUGCUGGGUGGAUUAGUGGCGAACGGGUGAGUAACACGUGAGUAACCUGCCCUUAACUCUGGGAUAAGCCUGGGAAACUGGGUCUAAUACCGGAUAGGAGCGUCCACCGCAUGGUGGGUGUUGGAAAGAUUUAUCGGUUUUGGAUGGACUCGCGGCCUAUCAGCUUGUUGGUGAGGUAAUGGCUCACCAAGGCGACGACGGGUAGCCGGCCUGAGAGGGUGACCGGCCACACUGGGACUGAGACACGGCCCAGACUCCUACGGGAGGCAGUAGUGGGGAAUAUUGCACAAUGGGCGCAAGCCUGAUGCAGCGACGCCGCGUGAGGGAUGACGGCCUUCGGGUUGUAAACCUCUUUCAGUAGGGAAGAAGCGAAAGUGACGGUACCUGCAGAAGAAGCACCGGCUAACUACGU